ACCUGACUGGCUCAGUUGGUGGAACAUGUGACUCUUGAUCUUAUGGUCAUGAGUUUAAGCCCUAUGUUGGGUA
rnacentral:tRNA from 1 species